UAACCGUUCGGUUCCAAUUUGUUCUUGUUGGCUUCGCCACAAGCAAGGUUUUUAAAUAUCCAUCCAAAUUAAAACGCGUGACACUCAUAAUAGACAUGUCGGAAUGAAUGUUCACCUUUCACUAAGUACCAAGUAUGACAACAACCCGAUUCGAGCAGUUUGAGUUUAAGGGAAAAAGAUGUCACAGCCCUGUUAUAUUUAUGGCCGCUCAUAGAUGGUGCCACUAUACACAGGGUGGACAAACAUAAGCAUAACGAGAAUGACAUAUUAAAAAAAAUAUAGUUAUGUGAAACGGCAUUGCUUAUAAAAGCCGCCUGAUGUCAUAUGCCCGUUCUUCUUGUAAUCGUGAUCCUCCCACGGAAUUGUAGUGCGCGCGUGUUUAAUCGCUAAUAUUUGAGGAUCCGUACCGUCGUUGAAAAGUUUAUGUUAGUUAUAUUAGUAAACUAAAAGAAGAAUUAAAAGUGUUAGUAAAAUUAGUAAUUGUAUGCAUCAUUAUAAGUGUUAGUGUGUUAAAAUCACGUUAGUCAACACACACACAAACACAUGGAAAACGACGAAGAUAAAUAAGUUAAAAAUGUUAUUAGAAAAAGGUAAAUAUCUAUCUAAAACUAAGUGCAAUAUUGAGGUUAGGUACAGUGGCGUUAUCAAGUGCUAAUCUUUGGUGGUAAGGUCCGUGAAAGGGACCUUUUUCUUUUGUACUCUUUUCUGAGUUUUAACUAGAAUACCGCUUCGGAAGAGAGGCUCUCCGAAGACCGAGCAAGCUUCUCACGGAACCAUUACCACUUCCGAUCCGAUGUUCAUCGUGGUAGUCUCGCUCGGUGGUCUACCCGACGCCAUAGUACGAAACCAGCCAUCUAGCUAUCCGAAGGUUAGCCAACAACCGCCAUCUUCCUGAACGAAAGUACCGGUAGUCGAAGCCAGGCUUCCGGUGACCUCUACCGCCUACCGGCGAAGUAAUCAUCAGUCGUCAUGCUGAGUUAACGUACAGGUAGACUGCACCAGGUUUCCGGUGACCUCUACCGCCUACCACAAAGCCGCUUCUACCAGCCAUCCCAAAGUCGACCACCAUCCUAAGAUCCGGAUCAACAGUAAGAAACCAAAGCCAGCACGUAUGUACCUAAAGUGACGUCACAAUAAACUUUUGUAAAAUGCUAAAAACCUCCAUGUUAGUUCAGGAUCGAUUAGCAAGAGCAACUCAGGGUUAUAAAGCUUUUUCACCAUUUCGAACUUGAUUCGUUUCUCCCGGGUCCAUAAAGGGACCACCAUGCCUCGCCUUGGGUGGAUCAUACUAUUAACUACCCCCCCCCCCCCCCCCCU